rnacentral:rRNA from 1 species
AUCGACAGGCUUAACACAUGCAAGUCGAGGGGCAGCACAGGUAGCAAUACCGGGUGGCGACCGGCGCACGGGUGAGUAACGCGUAUGCAACUUACCUAUCAGAGGGGGAUAACCCGGCGAAAGUCGGACUAAUACCGCAUGAAGCAGGGGCCCCGCAUGGGGAUAUUUGCUAAAGAUUCAUCGCUGAUAGAUAGGCAUGCGUUCCAUUAGGCAGUUGGCGGGGUAACGGCCCACCAAACCGACGAUGGAUAGGGGUUCUGAGAGGAAGGUCCCCCACAUUGGUACUGAGACACGGACCAAACUCCUACGGGAGGCAGCAGUGAGGAAUAUUGGUCAAUGGCCGAGAGGCUGAACCAGCCAAGUCGCGUGAGGGAUGAAGGUUCUAUGGAUCGUAAACCUCUUUUAUAAGGGAAUAAAGUGCGGGACGUGUCCCGUUUUGUAUGUACCUUAUGAAUAAGGAUCGGCUAACUCCGUGCCAGCAGCCGCGGUAAUACGGAGGAUCCGAGCGUUAUCCGGAUUUAUUGGGUUUAAAGGGUGCGUAGGCGGCCUUUUAAGUCAGCGGUGAAAGUCUGUGGCUCAACCAUAGAAUUGCCGUUGAAACUGGGGGGCUUGAGUAUGUUUGAGGCAGGCGGAAUGCGUGGUGUAGCGGUGAAAUGCAUAGAUAUCACGCAGAACCCCGAUUGCGAAGGCAGCCUGCCAAGCCAUUACUGACGCUGAUGCACGAAAGCGUGGGGAUCAAACAGGAUUAGAUACCCUGGUAGUCCACGCAGUAAACGAUGAUCACUAGCUGUUUGCGAUACACUGUAAGCGGCACAGCGAAAGCGUUAAGUGAUCCACCUGGGGAGUACGCCGGCAACGGUGAAACUCAAAGGAAUUGACGGGGGCCCGCACAAGCGGAGGAACAUGUGGUUUAAUUCGAUGAUACGCGAGGAACCUUACCCGGGUUUGAACGCAUUCGGACCGAGGUGGAAACACCUUUUCUAGCAAUAGCCGUUUGCGAGGUGCUGCAUGGUUGUCGUCAGCUCGUGCCGUGAGGUGUCGGCUUAAGUGCCAUAACGAGCGCAACCCUUGCCACUAGUUACUAACAGGUGAUGCUGAGGACUCUGGUGGGACUGCCAGCGUAAGCUGCGAGGAAGGCGGGGAUGACGUCAAAUCAGCACGGCCCUUACAUCCGGGGCGACACACGUGUUACAAUGGCGUGGACAAAGGGAGGCCACCUGGCGACAGGGAGCGAAUCCCCAAACCACGUCUCAGUUCGGAUUGGAGUCUGCAACCCGACUCCAUGAAGCUGGAUUCGCUAGUAAUCGCGCAUCAGCCACGGCGCGGUGAAUACGUUCCCGGGCCUUGUACACACCGCCCGUCAAGCCAUGAAAGCCGGGGGUACCUGAAGUACGUAACCGCAAGGAGCGUCCUAGGGUAAAACUGGUAAUUGGGGCUAAG